rnacentral:rRNA from 1 species
GACGAACGCUGGCGGCGUGCUUAACACAUGCAAGUCGAACGGAAAGGCCCAGCUUGCUGGGUGCUCGAGUGGCGAACGGGUGAGUAACACAUGGGUGAUCUGCCCCUAACUUCGGGAUAAGCUUGGGAAACUGGGUCUAAUACCGGAUAGGACAAUCGUUUAGUGUCGGUUGUGGAAAGUUUUUUCGGUUAGGGAUGAGCCCGCGGCCUAUCAGCUUGUUGGUGGGGUAAUGGCCUACCAAGGCGUCGACGGGUAGCCGGCCUGAGAGGGUGGACGGCCACAUUGGGACUGAGAUACGGCCCAGACUCCUACGGGAGGCAGCAGUGGGGAAUAUUGCACAAUGGGCGCAAGCCUGAUGCAGCGACGCCGCGUGGGGGAUGACGGCCUUCGGGUUGUAAACCUCUUUCGACAGGGACGAAGCUUUGGUGACGGUACCUGUAUAAGAAGCACCGGCUAACUACGUG